rnacentral:rRNA from 1 species
CAGAUUCUUCGGGACUGCUAGUGUGGCGCACGGGUGAGUAACACGUAAGUAAUCUACCCUCGAGUGGGGAAUAACGUUCGGAAACGGACGCUAAUACCGCAUAACGCGGCGGCACCGCAAGGUGACAGUUGUUAAAGGAGCAAUCCGCUUGAGGAGGAGCUUGCGGCAGAUUAGCUAGUUGGUAGGGUAAUGGCUUACCAAGGCUACGAUCUGUAUCCGGUCUAAGAGGACGGUCGGACACACUGACACUGAAUAACGGGUCAGACUCCUACGGGAGGCAGCAGUCGGGAAUUUUGGGCAAUGGGCGAAAGCCUGACCCAGCAACGCCGCGUGAAGGAUGAAGUAUUUCGGUAUGUAAACUUCGAAAGAAUAGGAAGAAUAAAUGACGGUACUAUUUAUAAGCUCCGGCUAACUACGUGCCAGCAGCCGCGGUAAUACGUAGGGAGCAAGCGUUGUUCGGAUUUACUGGGCGUAAAGGGCGCGUAGGCGGCGCGGUAAGUCACUUGUGAAAUCUCUGAGCUUAACUCAGAACGGCCAAGUGAUACUGCAGUGCUAGAGUGCAGAAAGGGCAAUCGGAAUUCUUGGUGUAGCGGUGAAAUGCGUAGAUAUCAAGAGGAACACCUGAGGCGAAGGCGGGUUGCUAGGCUGACACUGACGCUGAGGCGCGAAAGCCAGGGGAGCAAACGGGGAUUAGAUACCCCGGUAGUCCUGGCCCUAAACGAUGAAUACUUGGUGUCUGGAGUUUCAAUACUCCGGGUGCCGUCGCUAACGUUUUAAGUAUUCCGCCUGGGGAGUACGCUCGCNAAGAGUGAAACUCAAAGGAAUUGACGGGACCCGCACAAGCGGUGGAGCAUGUGGUUUAAUUCGACGCAACGCGAAGAACCUUACCUAGACUAGAAUGUGAGGAAUGUCGGGUAAUGCCGCAUCCGUAUACGAGCCCANACAGUGCCNCAAUCACGUCGCCGUCUUAGGGUAUNUUCCUUCUUUUUC